UCCCGCUCUCCCGCGCUCGCCGCCCUCGGCGCCGGAGCGCGCACCCACCCGGGCGGCAAAGUUGUGACUACUUGAGCGCGGGUGGCUCGCGCCCCGCUCGCUCCGCGCCUCGCGCUGACAAGUUGCCGGGGCUCGGCCCCGCCGCGGCCCGCGCCCGCGCCUCCGGGGAUCCCGGGGGCCCCUAGCCUUCAGGCCCCGAGGCGCGCCGGGCAGUGCUCCGGCGGCGGGGACGGCGGCAGUCGUGGCGGCAGCAAAGGCAGCGGCGGCCGCUGCGGCCCCACACUCGGCUGCCAAACUGGAGGAGCGACGGAAGCCGGACCCCAGGAGGAUGGAGGAUGAAGCCGUCUUGGACAGAGGGGCUUCCUUUCUUAAGCAUGUCUGUGAUGAAGAAGAAGUAGAAGGUGAGCUGAGCUUUAUGGGUCUGGGAAAGUGUAUAUACAUAUACAUGUGUAUCUGUAGAUAAUGGCAUUUAUGCAUGUUUAUAUCUUAUAUUUUUAAAGUAAAAAAAACCUUUCAAUGGAGUUUCAUUUAUAUCCACAUUUUGCUUCAACACAGAACGCAGUUUUAAGAACUUCAUUGGACCAUCAGAAACAGAAGCAGUGUGGUCCUAUGCAGUAUAAAAGGGUCUUAUUUUGAAGCAGAUGCCUAUUUUGGCUGUUCCUCUCCUUCAAAAAUAAAUAUUUUGCCAGUUAAUAUUAACCACG
rnacentral:lncRNA from 1 species